UACGAAGGGUGCAAGCGUUACUCGGAAUUACUGGGCGUAAAGCGCGCGUAGGCGGUCUUUUAAGUCAGAGGUGAAAGCCCAGUGCUCAACACUGGAACUGCCUUUGAAACUGGAAGACUUGAAUCAUGGAGAGGUCAGUGGAAUUCCGAGUGUAGAGGUGAAAUUCGUAGAUAUUCGGAAGAACACCAGUGGCGAAGGCGACUGACUGGACAUGUAUUGACGCUGAGGUGCGAAAGCGUGGGGAGCAAACAGG
rnacentral:rRNA from 1 species